UGGCUCAGUUGGUAGAGCAUGUGACUCUUGAUCUCGGGGUUGUGGGUUCGAGCCCAU
rnacentral:tRNA from 1 species